UCCCUGGUGGUCCGAUGGUUAAGACUCUGCCCUUCCACUGCAGGGGGUGCAGGUUCAAACCCCUGGUCAGGGAA
rnacentral:tRNA from 1 species